AGUACUGAAGCUAGUGGAAAUAUACCCAAACGUAUCGCACGCUUGAACAUACAAUAGAGUCACCAUAGAAAUUUAUUUAUUCCCGAAGGAAAGGGAAAACAUCGAUAAAACCCGGAGGAAAGAGAUAUGCUGGGUAAGGAAGUCGGUUAUGCAAGGGGAAGGUAUUAGCACCCCAAACAUCCAUGGUACUCCACGGGAACCGUUUUGAUUGUUCUCGCUCGAAUGAGUGUUAUAUUACUCGCAAAGAAUGAGGGAAAAGGAAA
rnacentral:lncRNA from 1 species